rnacentral:rRNA from 1 species
UAGGGAAUCUUCGGCAAUGGGGGGAACCCUGACCGAGCAACGCCGCGUGAGUGAAGAAGGUUUUCGGAUCGUAAAGCUCUGUUGUUAAGGAAGAACGGUAAUGGGAGUGGAAAGUCCAUUACGUGACGGUACUUAACCAGAAAGGGACGGCUAACUACGUGCCAGCAGCCGCGGUAAUACGUAGGUCCCGAGCGUUGUCCGGAUUUAUUGGGCGUAAAGCGAGCGCAGGCGGCUCUAUAAGUCUGAAGUGAAAGGCUAUGGCUCAACCAUAGUAUGCUUUGGAAACUGUAGGGCUUGAGUGCAGAAGGGGAGAGUGGAAUUCCAUGUGUAGCGGUGAAAUGCGUAGAUAUAUGGAGGAACACCGGUGGCGAAAGCGGCUCUCUGGUCUGUGACUGACGCU